rnacentral:snRNA from 1 species
ACAUUUACCUGGCAGGGGAGAUACCAUGUUCACAAAGGUGGUUUUCCCAGGGUGAGGCUUAUCUAUGUGCUGACCCCUGCAAUUUCCCCAAAUGUUGGAAACUUGACC